rnacentral:lncRNA from 1 species
UGUGAUCUUCAUGCUGCUAAACACAAAGCGCUGUGCUAGCAGGAAGGUCUGUGAAGUUUGCAAUAAAGCCAUUAUGAAGUCAAGAAUGGAGGUUCCAUUUUUAAAGAACUCAGAGGGGGUAGAUCUUGAUUGACAUCUCAUCUGGGGUCACCUGGUCUUCAACUGAGAGAUCUUUUGGUUCGCCACGGAUGCCCCUUGCAGUUAUGGAAGUUCACUCUUUGAGAGAGAGAUAAAUAAACAUUAAAAUGUAAAGAAAAAAAAAAUCAGCAAUGGAAGGAAAAAGGAACAAAAAGCAAUCCAUUGGCGUCAAGCUUGACUGGACCACUCCACUGCUCUGCUGCCGUUAGUGAACCUGACCCUGCAGCAGGAGUCACAGACUCACCACUCACCUCAAGUCCUCACUCCCUGGACCCUCAAUCUACACAUCACUUUGUCUUUUAUUUCCCUGAGAAAUACAGGCCAUCAGUUUGCAGAUCCCUCCUUUCCCCUUACCCUGCAAAUCUCCAUCUAUUUGGAAAAGUGUGCCUCCUACAUUCCAAAGCUAACCCCUCCUCCUCUGCCACUAAUAUCAGCCCUACCUGCCUUCUUCUGUAACUUGCUCCAUUAAUUCCCUCCCCUCUCCCCCAGGUCUCCCUGCCUAUGAACAUAUUCAAGGACAUCAUAUCUUAAAAACAAACAAAUAUCAGGCACAAUGGCUCACACCUGUAAUCCCAGCACUUUGAGAGGUCAAGGCAGGAGAAUCACUUGAAUCCAGGGGUUCAAGACCAGCCUGGGAAACAUAGGGAGACCCUAUCUCUACAAAAAAUAUUUUUUAAAAAAAUUAGCCAGGUGUGGUGGUGUGCACCUGUAGUCCCAACUACUCAGAAGGCUGGGGUGGGAGAAAUAUUUCAGCCCAGGACGUCACUGUGCACAAUUGCUUUACUUUUUUUUCCCUUGGUAUAGACUUGUUGAAGAGUAAGCCUUCAUGUACUGUUUCCUCACUUUACAUUCACUCUCAACUGGAGACAAUAUAGAGUCUUCGCAGAUGCAGCUUUCUCCAGACCAACAAUGUGGUUAGACAUCUGGUUUUUCAUUGUUGUUGUUUGAUUUCUCUGACUAGCUUCCCUGACCAGAGGUCGUUUUGAGUUUCCUUCUCUGGAAUUUGACCACUGAGCAGAGACACAUAGGAGAGAAGACGUGAAUGCUGAGUCAUCAAUCAGCAUCACUGGGAAGAAAAAGCCUCUCAGUUUCUUCUGCUGGGACUCCCAGAGCUGGAGUAUUUUCUGCUCUUCCUAAGGCCUGAAUCUCACCUUGUCACCCAGGCUGGAGUGCAAUGGCAUAAUCUCAGCUCACUGCAACCUCUGUCUCCCAGGCUCAAAUGAUUCUCCUGCCUCAGCCUCCUGAGUAGCUGGGAUUACAGGCGCCCAUGGACUACCAGCUUUUUAAGUAGACUUUUUAGCCAAAGGCCAAGGGAAACUACCCUCUUCCUACUGGGGUUCAAAUUGAUUAAAAUGGUUUGCUUUGACUUUUGUUGAAGUCUCUUUAUUUUCUUUUUAAGAUUAUGUUAAAUUAUAAUCCACAUUGGCUUUCUUUUUACAGGUAAACUUUUUCUCUUCUAGAUUUCUAGACGGCCUUCCCCCACUUCGCUUCUCUCUCUGCCAUUUUCCUCCCCUCUCCCGCCUCCCCAAGUUAGAAGAGGCUGACAAAAAGAGGCUCAUCAAAGUUAAAUGUUGCCAACAUAAAUUGGUCCCUCUUCUCUUCCUUGAUGUGACUGGUCUCUCAACCUAUUGAUGGCAUCCAGUUCCAACUUUCCUCUUCUCAUUUGGGACAUUGGGAGGAGAGUAGUCUCUAUUUUUAAUAACAAAGUAG